UUGACCUCGGAUCAGGUAGGGAUACCCGCUGAACUUAAGCAUAUCAAUAAGCGGAGGAAAAGAAACCAACAGGGAUUGCCUUAGUAACGGCGAGUGAAGCGGCAACAGCUCAAAUUUGAAAUCUGGCCUCUUUGGGGUCCGAGUUGUAAUUUGGAGAGGAUGUUUCGGGUACGGUCCGGGCUUAAAUUUCUUGGAACAGAAUGUCACAGAGGGUGAGAAUCCCGUCUGGAGUCUGCGACACGGCCUAUGUGAAACUCCUUCGACGAGUCGAGUUGUUUGGGAAUGCAGCUCUAAAUGGGUGGUAAAUUUCAUCUAAAGCUAAAUAUUGGCCAGAGACCGAUAGCGCACAAGUAGAGUGAUCGAAAGAUGAAAAGCACUUUGAAAAGAGAGUUAAACAGUACGUGAAAUUGUUGAAAGGGAAGCGCUGGCAACCAGACUUGCGCGUCGGGGUUCCCCCUUGCUUCUGCCUGGGUUACUCCCCGGCGUUCAGGCCAACAUCGGUUUUGGGGGUCGGUUAAAGGCCUUGGGAAUGUACCUACCUCUCGGGGUAGACUUAUAGCCCAGGGUGUCAUGCGACCUCCCGGGACCGAGGAACGCGCUUCGGCUCGGAUGUUGGCGUAAUGGUUGUCAGCGACCCGUCUUGAAACACGGACCAAGGAGUCUAACAUCUAUGCGAGUGUUAGGGUGUCAAACCCUUACGCGGAAUGAAAGUGAACGGAGGUAGGAAGCCGUAACAACGCUGCACUAUCGACCGAUCCUGAAGUUUACGGAUGGAUUUGAGUAAGAGCAUAGCUGUUGGGACCCGAAAGAUGGUGAACUAUGCCUGAAUAGGGUGAAGCCAGAGGAAACUCUGGUGGAGGCUCGCAGCGGUUCUGACGUGCAAAUCGAUCGUCAAAUUUGGGUAUAGGGGCGAAAGACUAAUCGAACCAUCUGGUAGCUGGUUCCUGCCGAAGUUUCCCUCAGGAUAGCAGUAACGUUUUCAGUUUUAUGAGGUAAAGCGAAUGAUUAGAGGCCUUGGGGUUGAAACAACCUUAACCUAUUCUCAAACUUUAAAUAUGUAAGAAGUCCUUGUCACUUAAUUGGACGUGGACAUUUGAAUGUAUCGUUACUAGUGGGCCAUUUUUGGUAAGCAGAACUGGCGAUGCGGGAUGAACCGAACGAGAGGUUAAGGUGCCGGAGUGCACGCUCAUCAGACACCACAAAAGGUGUCAAUGCAUCUAGACAGCCGGACGGUGGCCAUGGAAGUCGGAAUCCGCUUAGGAGUGUGUAACAACUCACCGGCCGAAUGCAUUGGCCCUGAAAAUGGAUGGCGCUUAAGCGUGUCACCUAUACCUCUCCGUCAUUGUUGACUUGAAGCGAUGACGAGUAGGCAGGCGUGGAGGUGCGUGACGAAGCCUUGGGGGUGACCCCGGGUCGAACCACCUCUAGUGCAGAUCU
rnacentral:rRNA from 1 species